CCCGCCCACNAGAGCCAUACAUGUCANAUGGCAGGAGGGGAAAGAGACCAGAGUCACACUGAGGAUGAAGGCACAAUCGAUUGGAUAAAUCGACACGAGCAAGGUGCAGAAGCACCUUGACCCAAUUUCUAGGAGCCACAUUUUGCACCAAUAGGAUGAGAGCCUGAUUCCACCAUCUUAGAAACGAGAAUAUGUCCUGGGACACAACCCGACCCUGAGAUUGAAGAGAUCUCAUUCCACAGAACAGUCCCCUUGCCUCAAAGGAGGGCAUAGGGGAUAUCCAUGAAGCAUCAACUACCAUAAAUACCACCCACAGGAGGAUUCCCACCGCANGCAACUAUUACAAAGCCACAAUCANGGUCCGCAACAACUCANAUGAAAAAGUGAANGACUGCAUAAUGAUAGUUGGCCNCCCAAAANNNAANCCACNNACCAAUACUAGCAAGGUCC
rnacentral:misc_RNA from 1 species